rnacentral:rRNA from 1 species
UACGUAGGGGGCAAGCGUUGUCCGGAUUUAUUGGGCGUAAAGAGCGUGUAGGCGGCCAGACAGGUCAGCUGUGAAAACUCGAGGCUCAACCUCGAGACGUCGGUUGAAACCGUCUGGCUAGAGUCCGGAAGAGGAGAGUGGAAUUCCCCGGUGUAGCGGUGAAAUGCGCAGAUAUCGGGAAGAACACCCGUGGCGAAGGCGGCUCUCUGGGACGGUACUGACGCUGAGACGCGAAAGCGUGGGGAGCGAACAGG